rnacentral:rRNA from 1 species
CCUACGGGAGGCAGCAGUGGGGAAUAUUGCACAAUGGGGGCAACCCUGAUGCAGCGACGCCGCGUGAGUGAAGAAGUAAUUCGUUAUGUAAAGCUCUAUCAGUAGGGAAGAAAAUUACGGUACCUGAGUAAGAAGCUCCGGCUAACUACGUGCCAGCAGCCGCGGUAAUACGUCGGGGGCCAGCGUUAUCCGGAUUUACUGGGUGUAAAGGGAGCGUAGACGGGAGUGCAAGUCUGGAGUGAAAGGCUGGGGCUCAACCCCCGGAUUGCUCUGGAAACUGUACGGCUGGAGUACAGGAGAGGUAAGUGGAAUUCGUAGUGUAGCGGUGAAAUGCGUAGAUAUCAGGAGGAACACCAGUGGCGAAGGCAGCUUACUGGACUGUAACUGACGUUGAGGCUCGAAAGCGUGGGGAGCAAACAGGAUUAGAUACCCUAGUAGUC